UACGAAGGGGGCUAGCGUUGUUCGGAUUUACUGGGCGUAAAGCGCACGUAGGCGGCUCUUUAAGUCAGAGGUGAAAUCCCAAGGCUCAACCUUGGAACUGCCUUUGAUACUGGGGAUCUUGAGUCCGGGAGAGGUGAGUGGAACUGCGAGUGUAGAGGUGAAAUUCGUAGAUAUUCGCAAGAACACCAGUGGCGAAGGCGGCUCACUGGCCCGGUACUGACGCUGAGUUGCGAAAGCGUGGUGAGCAAACAGG
rnacentral:rRNA from 1 species